UACUCUAUCUUAUUAAUGUAACAGUUUUGGUUGUAAAUUGAAAACUGACGUAAUGCCACUGAUGACAAUGUUGCAUAAAGUAUAUACUUCUUUGUAAUGGAAUCUACAAUCCCAUCCUAAAAUAACAAAAGACGCAUGAGAAUAAAUGUGUGUAUAGUGGUGUUGAGUGUAUAAUUUUCAUGCCACUUAGUCCUGUGCUAUUUAUUGGUUGGAAGUGUUUACGCAGGUGAAUAUCUAUGAAACUAUAUUUUAAAAGGCUUUCUCAUUUUAUCCCUGAAAACGCCUCUGUCAAAAUAUUUCAGUGAAAGGUUUUAGGAGUUGUCAGAAUAAAUAUGACUUGUAUUUUGAUUUUUAUAGGAUAACUGAGAUUUUUUUCUAAAACAGAAAAAAGUGAUAUUUAUUUUUUUACUGUAUUGGAGCUGGAUUACACAUUUUUGUGAUUCUAGAUGGAAAAAAGCACGUCAAAGACCUUUUUUACGAGUUAAAGAAUUUAAAUCAUGCAAUUAAAAUAUCUUCUGUUAGGACUUACACACAAAAAGAAGUCAUUUUAAGGUCAUAUAUAGGUUCAUCUGCUGCUAGUACCAAAGACGUAAAUACCUUUCCGGGAAUACAUGGAGAAACACAUGCGAAACUUGAAGUAAAAAGAUGGGACACGUUUCAAUACAGUUCAGCUUGACAUUCUUCUGUGAUUCUGGCAAGAAUAUUGUUGAGAUGGUUCAGUUCUAUCCGCUCGGAAACAGGUCUUGAAUAUUUAGAGGCGCAACUACAAAUACAUAAAAUUGUUAAACGGAAGUUGAAUAACAAACAAAAACAAAGAACAAGAUGCAACUUUGGAUCUUAUACUUGAAUCUGAAGGGUGCGAGCGCAUGCAAAAAAAAAAACAACAACACAACAACAACAACGAAAAACAAGCAAAUUUGAUGAAUUGGUAUCCCCCGUCGAAAAGGCAUCAUGACGAGCUUACAAGUACCGUCCGUCAGACAGGUGGUGUAUGAGAAAGACGGUUUGGACAUUGUGGCUCUCAGAAUCAAUCAAAGUUUUAGUAAACUACAGCAAGGUUUCAAGAGGGAUUCCAGUGAAAAUUCAAUCCGAUUCAAUCAAAUUGAGACUGCUUUUAUGUUGCUAAGUUUUAUUUCAUCCUCCCAAAGGACCGUCGUAAGAUUUUAUCACAUCACAAUAACAAUCGCGAAAUGCCAUGAGACGGUCGGAAAAGGUGUUUCCGUUGUUAGAUUUACUGUUCUGUUAGUUAUUUUCUGAUCCUUUGUGAUCAUUGAGUCUGUUCAAUAUCUCUGUUAAGAAUUUCGCUUAUGCUGGUGCUAAGAGGCACCAGAAGUGUUGCACUUUCAUUUCACAUAUCUUCUCAUCAACAGACUCAGUCAAACCAUAUCUGCUAUUUUUUUUGCUUGGUUACAUUGUGUGCCUUCAAAGGUCUUCUUAACAUAUCUUAAUAACUCUCACAACAGGAAUCUUGAAGUGCCUUUUGCCGGUCGUAAAAUGUGUUUUGGUACUUGGAUUUAGCGUUGUUAUAUUUUCUGAUCCUUAUGGAUCAAUGAGUCUAUUCAAUAUAUUUAUAACAAGAAUACGGCUUUAAGGUGGUGCUAGUGGGCGUUGCACUUUCCAUAACCUCUCAUAAACAGAUUAAACGGAGUCUGCUCUUUAAUGCCUGAAAGUCAUCUUAUAGAAUUUACUUUAAACUUGGGAUCACGGUGAGGUAAAGUUAUGUGUAUCAUAUCUUUUUCUUUGAUGGGCGAUGGUGAGGUGCGAUGGGGCGCCUAUGCCCAUCAAGUGUGCCAACGUUUUGUGGCUUAAACAACUUUCAGUUUUGAAGGGAUUUCAAUGAAACGUCUUGUUAGUGAUCACCAAGACCUGAAGCUAUGCGUGAUAAUGUUUUGGACGGAUGUAGUGGAGAAUGAUAAGGUAAUGGAAUUCAAUUUUAACUUCAGAUAAUUGUUCAAUGAACAGACGCAUUUAAACCCUGUUUACUAUUAUUUUGCUUGCUUCUGCUAUAUUUUACUUGUUUACAUUCUAUGCUUUCAAAUGAUCCCCAUAUAGAUUUUAUUUCUUACACACGGUCAUUUUGAUUUUAGAUAUGUUUGACAUAUUCUUCCGUUUAAUCUGUUUAUGAGAGGUUAUGGAAAGUGAAACGCCCCCUAGCACUACCUUAAAGCUGUAGUCUUGUUAUAAAACCCAUUAUUUUAUCUAGGGACCAUACGCCGCUUUUCAUAGAAUUACAUGCUAGUGUUACACGCUAAUGUAUCAUUGAAGGUUCCAUGUGCAACGCAGUAUGAACACAUCUGCGGAUAUAUCUAAAUUGUUUUUUUAUACUUUUAGCAUGUGUAAAUGUUGAAUUCUGCUCAACCCGGGGCUAGAGGGCGUGGAAGGUAGCAUGCAUUUCCACUACCGUCCAUGAACAGGCUCAAUCAAACCGAAUCUACAACAUUUCAAAAAUAUUUUCUUACCUUAUCACAAUUUAUCUGGUGGUAUUAUAAUUGUCAAGGUCAAAUGGAACACAAGUACCCCUCCCUAUUUUCACAAAAAUAGUUUAUUGUUCUGAUUAAGCGGUAUUCGGGGAAAGAAUCACAUUAAAAGAAAACUUUAGUUUAAUAUGGUUUUAUUAACUGUAUAGAAUACAGUUCCUGGCUUUUAUCCAGUGAAGACUCGUAUAAUUGUGCCGAUACAAUUGUUUAAGUGAUGUUCGGUAUUAAAUUCUAGUUUCCAAUUUAGGAACAUUUUUUCCAACGACGACAUGUUAUUCAUGCUCUUUGAGAACGAUGUCAGAAUUACAUGGAAAGGUCCACCACCAGUAUUGUUUAUACGUUUAUGAACGAUCUUUUCCUUCUAUACAAAACAUAAUAGUAAAUGUAAAUAUUCUCUCUACAUAAGUUAUUCAGCUAAUUUUGAUUAAUCAAAAUGUCAAACAAAUUCUAUAUGUGGCGAAUUAGAAUACUUUUAAAACCUUAUCCAAAAAUCAUGCAUGCCCGCUUUAAAGUAAUUUAUGUGGAAAUGUUUCUUGCAUGACAAAAUGUAGCUAUUAAACUCGGAUGAGAAC
rnacentral:lncRNA from 1 species